rnacentral:rRNA from 1 species
AGAGUUUGAUCCUGGCUCAGGAUGAACGCUGGCGGCGUGCCUAAUACAUGCAAGUCGAGCGAACGGACGAGAAGCUUGCUUCUCUGAUGUUAGCGGCGGACGGGUGAGUAACACGUGGAUAACCUACCUAUAAGACUGGGAUAACUUCGGGAAACCGGAGCUAAUACCGGAUAAUAUUUUGAACCGCAUGGUUCAAAAGUGAAAGACGGUCUUGCUGUCACUUAUAGAUGGAUCCGCGCUGCAUUAGCUAGUUGGUAAGGUAACGGCUUACCAAGGCAACGAUGCAUAGCCGACCUGAGAGGGUGAUCGGCCACACUGGAACUGAGACACGGUCCAGACUCCUACGGGAGGCAGCAGUAGGGAAUCUUCCGCAAUGGGCGAAAGCCUGACGGAGCAACGCCGCGUGAGUGAUGAAGGUCUUCGGAUCGUAAAACUCUGUUAUUAGGGAAGAACAUAUGUGUAAGUAACUGUGCACAUCUUGACGGUACCUAAUCAGAAAGCCACGGCUAACUACGUGCCAGCAGCCGCGGUAAUACGUAGGUGGCAAGCGUUAUCCGGAAUUAUUGGGCGUAAAGCGCGCGUAGGCGGUUUUUUAAGUCUGAUGUGAAAGCCCACGGCUCAACCGUGGAGGGUCAUUGGAAACUGGAAAACUUGAGUGCAGAAGAGGAAAGUGGAAUUCCAUGUGUAGCGGUGAAAUGCGCAGAGAUAUGGAGGAACACCAGUGGCGAAGGCGACUUUCUGGUCUGUAACUGACGCUGAUGUGCGAAAGCGUGGGGAUCAAACAGGAUUAGAUACCCUGGUAGUCCACGCCGUAAACGAUGAGUGCUAAGUGUUAGGGGGUUUCCGCCCCUUAGUGCUGCAGCUAACGCAUUAAGCACUCCGCCUGGGGAGUACGACCGCAAGGUUGAAACUCAAAGGAAUUGACGGGGACCCGCACAAGCGGUGGAGCAUGUGGUUUAAUUCGAAGCAACGCGAAGAACCUUACCAAAUCUUGACAUCCUUUGACAACUCUAGAGAUAGAGCCUUCCCCUUCGGGGGACAAAGUGACAGGUGGUGCAUGGUUGUCGUCAGCUCGUGUCGUGAGAUGUUGGGUUAAGUCCCGCAACGAGCGCAACCCUUAAGCUUAGUUGCCAUCAUUAAGUUGGGCACUCUAAGUUGACUGCCGGUGACAAACCGGAGGAAGGUGGGGAUGACGUCAAAUCAUCAUGCCCCUUAUGAUUU